AUGGCGCAAGGUGGAGCUGGGUUGCGGCUGUUGGCCUGCGGCUGCGUGGCGAAGGUGCAGGUCCGAUCUGGGCCAUCACGUGGGGGUCGCGGCGCGGCUCUUGCCGGUGGCCGUGCCUACGUGCGGCACCUUCUGGCUGCUUGGCAUUACAUCCCCUCACGUGGUGGUCGUGGGGAGUCUCCUGACUCUCUGUUGGCGGCUUCUCCGGGUGGCCAGAUCUGGGCCGUGCGGGUCCACGGCCGGCGAGGGUGGUGGUGGUGUGGCCACGGUCGUCCUGGCUGGUGGUGGCGGUGGUGUGGUGUUUGGCGCUAUGGCGGUGCAGACCUGCAGCUGUGUUGGAUGUCUCGGCAAUCGGCCACAGUGCAAUGGGAGGGCGUCGUUGCAGAUCGGGGGGUAACCCCUGCUCCGUCAGGAUCCAGCGAUGGCGACGCCUGUGGGCGUCGCAAUCCUUCUUAG
rnacentral:rRNA from 1 species